GAAUGGGUGGUCUGAACUGAGAAUGUUCCGGUCCCAAGUCCCCACUUACCGCGUGACCUGGGGCGCUAAUAAUAGGCCCUGCUUCAUGGGGAUCCAUGGAGGACUCCGCGAAGUCGAACAGGCAAAACCCUUAGCUCAAUGCUGGGCGCGUAGCUCUGUGUGGUGGGGUCGGCAAGGAAGGAUUUGACUUUACAAAUGGGGUCUGUGGUGUUCGGGGAAAAAACCCAUGACUUUAGGUAGUAGGGAGCCUUUAAAGGCUUUGAACAGAAUGACCUCCCUUGAGUUUGUGCUUGUGGAGAAGCUCCUAGCCCAACACUCGCCAGACUCAGGAGACCUGUGCCCUCUGCCAGAGAACUUGAACUAGGAAGAGACGUCCGGUGGGGCAGGAGCAGGGGGAGGAGAAAGAGAAGUAACUGUUGCGGGUUUUCUCUGAAAGCAGAGCCUAGGAGGGGGGAGUGGACAGUAAUAAGAUUACGGACUGUUACACACGUUUCCCGGAGCCGUAAAUCCUGGCUCGUUUUACCCAGUGUACCAAAGGGACUAAGCUGACAGAGCGAGGAGUCAGAGAGAAGGAAGACAAGCCACCUUCCGGGACUGACUGUGCAAAGAACUGAGGCCCAGCCCGGUCUGGUGAGGGUCCUCUCAAACCUCUCACAAUGAGCCUAAAUUCUUUUCCCAACUCCAUCCUGUUCCUGCUUGAACCACCCUUCUGGAAAUGCGGAGCUCCCUCCCACAUGGACAUCUGUGGAAACCACGCAUUGAGAUGACAGAGGCAUGGGUUGAGAGAUGCCUGGAUCCCUGGGUCGCCGCACAGAGGAGAUCUGCCCGAAGAAUUGCCUGAUGGCUGCACUUUGUGCGCUUCCUGUGCGUUUCAACACGCGUCCCCUGGGGGCAGAGACCGUCGUCUAUCGCUUCUUCAAUCAACAAACAUUUAUUAGCGGCUGGUCAGUGGGGAAUGAGAUGGGUGACCAAGUUCCCGUACUCUCGGAAUCACAGUCCAGAAGCCACCUGUGGCUCUCGAGAACCUGAAGCGCAGCCAGUCCAAACUGAGCUGGGCUGUCCGUGUAAAAUAGAAACCACAUUUCAAAGACUUACUGUGCAAAUAAGAAGGUAAAAUAUCUCACGAAUGUUUUUCAGAUUGA